AAAGUCGUAACAAGGUUUCCGUAGGUGAACCUGCGGAAGGAUCAUUAACAACGUAUCCAAAACGUUAUAACUUCUGUUAUUUCCAAAAACUCCAAAAACUGAACUGAAUCGUGAUUCUUCUUUGCUUCUAAACAAAGCAAAGGAGUUACCCUCCCUAUUCUUUUCUCCAAACCCCAAAACAAAACUUGAACAACAAACAACUAACAACCAACCAAUAUACGUAACUAAAGAACAACUCUUAACAACGGAUAUCUUGGUUCUC
rnacentral:misc_RNA from 1 species